rnacentral:piRNA from 1 species
UCCCUAAGACCAGGUGAUGGGAUGAUCAGA